GCGUAUAAGUUUUGUAAUACUUUUAGUCACUAAAUUAAUUAUUUCAUUAUUACAUUUUAAAAAGUGCGUAGUUUUUAAAAAAUUGUAGCGAAAUAUCAUUAUUUUAUACUAAAUUUUUCAUUUUCAUUUUUAAAUUUUAUCAUAUUUUUUUACAGAUCAAAUUGUAUAUCUAUUAAAAGUACGUAUAUUUGUUAAAAACAUCAAUUUUUAGAUAUCUAAAACAUAAAAUAUCACAAAAAAAUUACAAAUUAAAUCGAAUCGUAAGUUGAUUAUCCGUGCAGAAUAGAGUGGAACACAUAUAUCAUUAAAAUUUUGGUUAUGUGCCUACACUUUUACC
rnacentral:lncRNA from 1 species